rnacentral:rRNA from 1 species
UACGUAGGGGGCAAGCGUUGUCCGGAAUCAUUGGGCGUAAAGAGCGCGUAGGCGGUCCGGUAAGUCCGCUGUGAAAGUCAAGGGCUCAACCCUUGAAUGCCGGUGGAUACUGUCGGGCUAGAGUCCGGAAGAGGCGAGUGGAAUUCCUGGUGUAGCGGUGAAAUGCGCAGAUAUCAGGAGGAACACCAAUGGCGAAGGCGGCUCACUGGCCCGAUACUGACGCUGAGGCACGAAAGCGUGGGGAGCAAACAGG